UUAUAGUUUCAAAGCUUUGACACUGGCCA
rnacentral:piRNA from 1 species